rnacentral:rRNA from 1 species
CCUACGGGAGGCAGCAGUAGGGAAUCUUCCACAAUGGGCGCAAGCCUGAUGGAGCCACGUAGCGUGGGUGAAGAAGGUCCUCGGAUCGUAAAACUUUGUUGUUAGAGAAGUAAGUGCGUGCGCGUAACUGUUCACGUUUCGACGGUAUCUAUCCAGAACGCCUCGGUUAAAUACGUCACAGCCGCCGCGGCAAGACGUAGGGGGCUAGAGUUAUCCGGAUUUAUUGGGCGUAAAGGGAACGCAGGCGGGCUUGUAAGUCUGAUGUGAAAGCCUUCGGCUUAACCGGUGUAGUGCAUUUGAAACUGGGAGACUUGAGUGCAGAAGAGGAGAGUGGAACGCCAUGUGUAGCGGUGAAAUGCGUAGAUAUAAGGAAGAACACCAGUGGCGAAAGCAGCUCUCUGGUCUGUAACUGACGCUGAGGUUCGAAAGCGUGGGUAGCAAACAGGAUUAGAUACCCCGGUAGUC